rnacentral:RNase_P_RNA from 1 species
UCAGAGGGUCGGGCGACCGCGGGAUGUAAAUUCCGAGGAAAGUCCGGGCUCCAUUGAAGCAGGAUGCCGGAUAACGUCCGGCGGGCACAUUGGUGACGAUGUGCUUAGGGAAAGUGCAACAGAAAGCAAACCGCCUAUUUUAGGUAAGGGUGAAAGGGUGUGGUWAGAGCGCACCGCCGUUUUGGCAACAAAGCGGGCAUGGUAAACCCCAUCCGGAGCAAGACCAAAUAGGGGCGGCAUCACGGCGAGCUUAAACGUCGCUGCCCGGGUUGGUCGCUAGAGGUGUUGRGUAACUGACACCCAAGAUGAAUGGUCGCCGCCUUUGUACUUAGGUGCAAAGCGUACAGAACCCGGCUUAUAGACCCUCUGAACUA